rnacentral:rRNA from 1 species
AGAGUUUGAUCCUGGCUCAGGACGAACGCUGGCGGCGCGCCUAACACAUGCAAGUCGAACGAGAGAUGAGGAGCUUGCUCUUCAAAUCGAGUGGCGAACGGGUGAGUAACGCGUGAGGAACCUGCCUCAAAGAGGGGGACAACAGUUGGAAACGACUGCUAAUACCGCAUAAGCCCACGGCUCGGCAUCGAGCAGAGGGAAAAGGAGUGAUCCGCUUUGAGAUGGCCUCGCGUCCGAUUAGCUAGUUGGUGAGGUAACGGCCCACCAAGGCGACGAUCGGUAGCCGGACUGAGAGGUUGAACGGCCACAUUGGGACUGAGACACGGCCCAGACUCCUACGGGAGGCAGCAGUGGGGAAUAUUGCACAAUGGGGGAAACCCUGAUGCAGCGACGCCGCGUGGAGGAAGAAGGUCUUCGGAUUGUAAACUCCUGUUGUUGAGGAAGAUAAUGACGGUACUCAACAAGGAAGUGACGGCUAACUACGUGCCAGCAGCCGCGGUAAAACGUAGGUCACAAGCGUUGUCCGGAAUUACUGGGUGUAAAGGGAGCGCAGGCGGGAGAACAAGUUGGAAGUGAAAUCCAUGGGCUCAACCCAUGAACUGCUUUCAAAACUGUUUUUCUUGAGUAGUGCAGAGGUAGGCGGAAUUCCCGGUGUAGCGGUGGAAUGCGUAGAUAUCGGGAGGAACACCAGUGGCGAAGGCGGCCUACUGGGCACCAACUGACGCUGAGGCUCGAAAGUGUGGGUAGCAAACAGGAUUAGAUACCCUGGUAGUCCACACCGUAAACGAUGAUUACUAGGUGUUGGAGGAUUGACCCCUUCAGUGCCGCAGUUAACACAAUAAGUAAUCCACCUGGGGAGUACGACCGCAAGGUUGAAACUCAAAGGAAUUGACGGGGGCCC